AUUGAACGCUUGCGGCAGGCCUAACACAUGCAAGUCGAACGAGUGGCGGACGGGUGAGUAAUGUCUGGGAAACUGCCCGAUGGCGGGGGCUAACUACUGGAAACGGUAGCUAAUACCGCAUACCAUCGGAUGUGCCCAGAUGGGGUGCGCUAGUAGGUGGGGUAAUGGCUCACCUAGGCGACGAUCCCUAGCUGGUCUGACAGGAUGACCAGCAACACUGGAACUGAGAAAGUGUCCAGACGCCUACGGGAGGCAGAAGUGGGGAAUAUUGCACAAUGGGCGCAAGCCUGAUGCAGCGAUGCAGCGUGUAUGUAGAAAGCCUUCGGGUUGUAAAGUACUUUCAGCGAGGAGGCGUUACUCGCAGAAGAAGCACCGGCUAACUCCGUGCCAGCAGCCGCGGUAAUAC
rnacentral:rRNA from 1 species